rnacentral:rRNA from 1 species
AGUGAACGCUGGCGGCAGGCCUAACACAUGCAAGUCGAACGGCAGCACAAGAGAGCUUGCUCUCUGGGUGGCGAGUGGCGGACGGGUGAGGAAUGCAUCGGAAUCUGCCCAUUUGUGGGGGAUAACCUCGGGAAACCGGGACUAAUACCGCAUACGACCUACGGGUGAAAGCAGGGGAUCUUCGGACCUUGCGCAGAUGGAUGAGCCGAUGCCGGAUUAGCUAGUUGGAGGGGUAAAGGCCCACCAAGGCGCCGAUCCGUAGCUGGUCUGAGAGGAUGAUUAGCCACACGGGGAGUGAGACACGGCCCAGACUCCUACGGGAGGAAGCAGUGGGGAAUAUUGGACAAUGGGCGCAAGACUGAUCCAGCCAUGCCGCGUGUGUGAAGAAGGCCUUCGGGUUGUAAAGAACUUUUGUUGGGAGAGAAAAGCAGCCGGUUAAUACCCGGUUGUCAUGACGGUACCCAAAGAAUAAGCACCGGCUAACUUCGUG